UACAGAGGGUGCAAGCGUUGUUCGGAAUUAUUGGGCGUAAAGCGCGUGUAGGCGGCUUUGCAAGUCGGGUGUGAAAGCCCAGGGCUCAACCCUGGAAGUGCAUUCGAUACUGCUUAGCUUGAGUGCGAGAGAGGUUAAUAGAAUACCUGGUGUAGUGGUGAAAUACGUAGAUAUCAGGUGGAACACCGGAGGCGAAGGCGGUUAACUGGCUCGACACUGACACUGAGACCCGAAAGUGCGGGGAUCAAACAGG
rnacentral:rRNA from 1 species